rnacentral:lncRNA from 1 species
GUUCUUUUUAAAUUGAGUUUUUCUAACAUUUUCAGAGCUGCAUGAAUAGGGGCAAUCAGCAUAGUUAGGUUUGCUCAGAAGAACGCUUGAGUCUGCCUGCUAGUGACUCUGGCAAGCAGUGGGACUUGGAAUCUGAGAUCUGUAGUUCACUACUUCGUUUUUAGUUGUCUAACAUUUCUGUAUUUCAGUAAAAGCUGGGGUAGACCCACAAGUGUUGAUGACAGAGGGAGAUGUUCUGGCAGAGGAUUAGAUGUCAUGUCUCUCUCUCACCUACCUUGAGGAACUAAAAGGAGCCCUUUGCAUGGCAGACCCUGUGUUACUCCUAGCUGGUGAGCUACAGUUUAGAUCAGUAGUUCAGAAGAGGAUGAAAAAUACUAUUUCUAGUAUCUAUGGCUGACAAACAUUCCUCUCAGUUACAUCUCACUGUAGAAAGGCAAAGUUGGAGAACUCAGCAAAAUUUCAGGAGGUGAGUCAAUCAAGAAACUCUUCGACUAUUUCUUACAAGGUCUGCCAUUUUCAAAAAUGAAAAUUUCCCAUGAGGAUCAAGUAUGGAAAUAAUCUG